rnacentral:rRNA from 1 species
CCCUUAGAUGUUCGGGGCCGCACGCGCGCUACACUGACGGAGUCAACGAGUUGUCCUGCAUCGGAAGGUGUGGGUAAUCUUUUGAAACUUCGUCGUGCUGGGGAUAGAUCUUUGCAAUUUUCGAUCUUGAACGAGGAAUUCCUAGUAAGCGUGAUUCAUCAGAUCGCGUUGAUUACGUCCCUGCCCUUUGUACACACCGCCCGUCGCUACUACCGAUUGAAUGGUUUAGUGAGGCCUCGGGACUGGCGCGCUCGAGUAGCAAUACACCUGCGCGCCGGGAACUUGGUCAAACUUGAUCAUUUAGAGGAAGUAAAAGUCGUAACA